UGGUGUGAUGGAACUCACAGACACAGAG
rnacentral:piRNA from 1 species